rnacentral:lncRNA from 1 species
CCAAAAAAGUCUAUUCUAUGGUCUUUUUGCUUCUUUUAAUUAACUUUUUACCCCUUUCCUUAGGUCUUAUAUUACAACAACUUAAAGCACCAACAGGAUCAAUAUCAACACCCCUGGCAAAUAUUUCAGGUAGUGUGUUUUGCAAACUUAUGUAUUGAAACAUAAACAUUCAAUUUUUUUAUAUUUG